UACGGAGGGUGCAAGCGUUAUCCGGAUUCACUGGGUUUAAAGGGUGCGUAGGUGGGCAGGUAAGUCAGUGGUGAAAUCUCCGGGCUUAACUCGGAAACUGCCAUUGAUACUAUCUUUCUUGAAUACCGUGGAGGUCAGCGGAAUAUGUCAUGUAGCGGUGAAAUGCUUAGAUAUGACACAGAACACCGAUUGCGAAGGCAGCUCACUAAGUCAUAACUGACGCUGAUGCACGAAAGCGUGGGGAGCAAACAGG
rnacentral:rRNA from 1 species